UGGGGAAUUUUGGACAAUGGGCGAAAGCCUGAUCCAGCAAUGCCGCGUGUGUGAAGAAGGCCUUCGGGUUGUAAAGCACUUUUGUCCGGAAAAAAUCCUCUGGGUUAAUACCUCGGGGGGAUGACGGUACCGGAAGAAUAAGCACCGGCUAACUACGUGCCAGCAGCCGCGGUAAUACGUAGGGUGCAAGCGUUAAUCGGAAUUACUGGGCGUAAAGCGUGCGCAGGCGGUUUUGUAAGACGGAUGUGAAAUCCCCGGGCUUAACCUGGGAACUGCAUUCGUGACUGCAAGGCUAGAGUAUGGCAGAGGGGGGUAGAAUUCCACGUGUAGCAGUGAAAUGCGUAGAGAUGUGGAGGAAUACCGAUGGCGAAGGCAGCCCCCUGGGCCAAUACUGACGCUCAUGCACGAAAGCGUGGGGAGCAAACAGGAUUAGAUACCCUGGUAGUCCACGCCCUAAACGAUGUCAACUAGUUGUUGGGGAUUCAUUUCCUUAGUAACGUAGCUAACGCGUGAAGUUGACCUUUUUUGCCUGGGGAGUACGGUCGCAAGAUUAAAACUCAAAGGAAUUGACGGGGUCAUAGCUGUUUCCU
rnacentral:rRNA from 1 species